AUGACAGUCAAGGACCCAGCAAACGGAUUAUUUCCCUCUGAAUAUAUCAUUUUACCCGGAGAACAGAUUGUGGGCCAUUCAAACCACAGUAGUUGGUUUCAGAAUGCCCCGGGCUUAUCUGAGGUUUGUGUCCCAUCCAUGACAUUGAUGAGACUGGAGUAGGGUUUCUCUCAGAUGACUCCAUGUUUGUCAUGCAACGUGACAGUGAAGGACUGCACACUGAGUUAACAGAUAAACCUUCUUGUGGAUGGUAUACAGUGAUAUGUUGGCUUCCUGACGAGUCUACAAACAAAUAUAAUUUCUUUUAUUCUUUGUUUUCACUUCUUUAAACAUUUGAAUACAAUUUAAGCCUACACAUGCGCUCAUUUUGCAUUAUUAAAAUGCAUCCUGGUGAUUCAGUAGAGAUGGUUACCUAACCUGCCUGGUGCAGAAGGUUGUAUUUUGUUCUUUCUUCUCUUAUGUGUCUUGUCUUUGCUAGCCACUAUUCUCUCUAUUAUGUUGAGAUGACUUUAGACAAUGUGGGAAAAACUGGCUUCCUCUAUUGUCACUAGUUUUUGUAGACAACAAUGCUAAUCGUCGCCCUCAGUGUGAAGCUGACUAAAUUAACAAGAACGGUUAAGUUGAUAUAAAAGAAUGCAAUUAUAUGCCUAACUACUAACUCAAGAAAUAACACAAUGUAUAAUUGUUUAGUGUAACUACUUAAAUUUGGGACACUAUACCAGUAGUCCCCUCCUCCUCCUCUCUUAUCUCUCUCAGACAUACAGUACUCUCUCUUUUUAAGUCUCUCUUUCUGUUUGUUCCAUAUCAUCAAAACAUGCUACAAGAGAGGCCCCAACAUGUACUUGGACGCUGAAGCCACACUCAAAUCUAUGAAUGUCAUUGCACUAGAUAACAAAAUAUCAAGCAAAGUGGCACCUGCAAACAAUUGAUUUUGGACUUCUUUCUCAGAACUAACACUGAGAAAAGUAGGAAGCAAAAUAAAGAAAUUAGCCAAAAGUUGUUUCUGUAACAGUAGAUAAGUGAACUGAAAAGCAUCAGUUUUGUGCAAAUUACAUGAUUUAUACAUGGAUUUAUACAAUAUUAAUUUGCAUAAAACAAACUACUAAGAGUAGUCUUCAGGUUAACUUUUGCUGACUUUACGAUCUGUAGUAUUUUAAAGAGUUUAUUGAGCCUGGAGACAAAACAAAUUUAAAAAAAUUUAUUUUUUAUUUUAUUGAGUAUAAUAUUUGAUACAUCAGGCUGUUAUGAUUCAUAUUGUAUGACAGGAAUGCAGUGCAAUACAGUGAGGACUAAGAAAUGUCCAAAAAUAAACACCUCAAAAGCCACGUGUACUUAAAUUUUUCAAAAAACAAAAUAUGUAUAGAUAAUCAAGUAAACCCAAGUUGUUUCAGUUCAGUUAAUCUUUAAAUAUUACUAACAACAUAAAAGUUAUUCUUAUGUUUAGCAUAUCAAAAUCAUGUAUUUCACAGUAAAAAGUCACAUGUAUCACAGCUUAAUGGGAGUGUUUUUAAAAUGAUACUUUCUUGCUUAAAAAAAGCUAUUAACUAUCGAUCAGAGGGGAGAAGACAUGUGAAGCUCGUGUACAACAGGUUUUCUAGUUAAAUAAAAUAUCAAAUGUAACCCUGGAGCACAAAACCAGUCAUAAGUCGCACGGGUAUAUUUGUAGCAAUAGCCAGCAAUAUUGUAUGGGUCAGAAUGAUCGAUUUUUCUUUUAUGCCUAAAAUCAUUAAGAUAUUAAGUAAAGAUCAUAUUCCAUGAAGAUAUUUUGUAAAUAUCCUACUGUAAAUGUAUCAAAACAAAUUUUGAUUAGUAAUAUGCAUUGCUAAGAACUUAAUUUGGACAACUUUAAAGGUGAUUUUCUCAAUAUUUUGAUUCCAGAUUUUCAAAUAGUUGUAUCUCAGCCAAAUAUUGUACCAUCCUAACAACCAUACGUCAAUGGAAAUCUUAUAUAUUCAGCUUUCAGAUGAUGCAUAAAUUUCAGUUUCAAAAAAUGGACCCUUAUGACUGGUUUUUGUGGUCCAGGGUCACAAAUAUAAUAUGUAGGCUUUUAUACUCACUAUUACUAAAUUACAGCACCACUGGGUGGUGUUGAGAAUUCAGUUUUUGAGAAUUCAGACUUUGCU
rnacentral:lncRNA from 12 species